rnacentral:rRNA from 1 species
UGCAGUCGACGGAGUUAUGUUGACAGAAGCCUUCGGGUGGAAGAUGAUAUAACUUAGUGGCGGACGGGUGAGUAACACGUGAGCAACCUGCCUAUCAGAGGGGGAUAACGUUCUGAAAAGAACGCUAAUACCGCAUAACGUGCGAGGGAGACAUCUCUCUUGUACCAAAGGAGCAAUCCGCUGAUAGAUGGGCUCGCGUCCGAUUAGGUAGUUGGUAGGGUAACGGCCUACCAAGCCGACGAUCGGUAGCCGGACUGAGAGGUUGAACGGCCACAUUGGGACUGAGACACGGCCCAGACUCCUACGGGAGGCAGCAGUGGGGAAUAUUGCACAAUGGGGGAAACCCUGAUGCAGCGACGCCGCGUGAGGGAAGAAGGUUUUCGGAUUGUAAACCUCUGUCCUUGGUGACGAAAAUGACGGUAGCCAAGGAGGAAGCCACGGCUAACUACGUGCCAGCAGCCGCGGUAAUACGUAGGUGGCAAGCGUUGUCCGGAAUUACUGGGUGUAAAGGGAGCGUAGCGGGAAGAUAAGUUGGACGUCUAAUCUAUCGGCUCAACCGAUAGUCGCGUUCAAAACUGUUUUUCUUGAGUGAAGUAGAGGUAAGCGGAAUUCCUAGUGUAGCGGUGAAAUGCGUAAAUAUUAGGAGGAACACCAGUGGCGAA